UACAGAGGGUGCAAGCGUUAAUCGGAAUUACUGGGCGUAAAGCGCGCGUAGGCGGAUAAAUAAGUUGGGUGUGAAAUCCCUGGGCUUAACCUAGGAAUUGCAUUCAAAACUGUUUGUCUAGAGUACAGGAGAGGAGGGCAGAAUUUCCGGUGUAGCGGUGAAAUGCGUAGAUAUCGGAAGGAAUACCAGUGGCGAAGGCGACCCUCUGGACUGUGACUGACGCUGAGGUGCGAAAGCGUGGGGAGCAAAAGGG
rnacentral:rRNA from 1 species